rnacentral:lncRNA from 1 species
AUUCUAGGGUUUUCCAUGUUAGGACAAUUGUUGGCUAUUGGGUACUAGGUGAAGCAUCGUUCGGGUAGGGAGACAUUGGCUUGAGAGUUAAAAGUUGCAAAAGUAUGGGGACAGAAUCCGUUGCUUAGUUCCUUGUUGUGCUUGAAGCCAAGGAGUUAUGGAUGAUCAAGAUGUGAUCAGAGGUGGUGCAGUGCAAAUAUUGCCAGCGAUCUAGUCACUGGUCUUCUGUGUCCGCUUUAAGACACCACAAGAUCUUCGUUCCAUAGGUAUCCUAAUGGUUGAAAGAUUUACUAGGCUAUAAGGAAGUUCUAGCAUCCUUCCUUGUCGGCGAAGUAGGUCUUUCUUCUUAACUGGAAAUCUUAUUAAGAAUGGGAGCAGAACAGCAGGAACUCUUAGUGAGAAGCUUUGAGAUGAUUUUUAUACGAAACACUGUACUGGUUGUCCAUAAACUCUCUGAGUUUACCCCUGAAAGUGACAAGAUGGGUGAAGAUGAAUUUUGACUACAGUAGGAGAGUACUUGUCACAUCAGAAAUAAGAUUCUCUUCAUAAACAUUACUAAAUCUUUGUAGAUAUGCCUUGGAGAUCAUCAUUGUCAGGGUUCUUAAGCUUAGGUAGUAAAACAUCCUCUUUAGUUUCACUUGGAGAGCUGCAGGGUGGCAUCCUUCACUAAAGAUUGAUUCGUGGAA